CGGCGCAGACCCGCCGGGGCGGGUGGCUGCUGGCAGUUGGGGCCGGAGCAGGGAGGCCCCUGGUGGCCCAGUCCUUCCGCAUCUGCCCUUCCUGUUCUCUCCUCUUAGGGUUGGCCGGAGUCGGGGGUGGGGGUUUAGAUCCUGCCCACCUUGCUGAAGGCCACUCUGACUUGGGUACAACAAGCACGUCUCCGGCCCUCCCUGGCAGGUCUGCAGGGUCCACUGAACCCCAUACCUGGCUGGGUCCUCACCUGGAACCCGGCCCACGUUGGGCUUUCUCUUCCACAUGCCCAGGUCCCUGGCGCAGGCCCUUCCGCCUCGGGCUCCCGCGGCACACCCAUUUCCACCCAGGCUGAGACUAGGCUUUGUGAGCUGGGGGAGUCUUGCUUAUCUCUGUGUGACCCAGGCCUUCAGCCCAGUGAGCGUCUAGGAGCUGAACCCGAGCCCUGCUGGACGGUCCUUUUGCUAAUACAGACAUCUGGGACUUUGGGACUGGGAAUCAGCUUGCUGCUGCCGCCCUCCUUAGGGCUCUCUGUAGGUGCUGGCCUUAUCUGCUAUCGGAGGUGUGGACAGGGCCCUGGAUGGGACUUCAGCAGUCAACCCUUAGGGAGCCGUGAGCAAAGCUGCAGCUGGGGCCUCUAUGCCUGUUCACUGGCUCUGCGUGCGAGGCUGUGUGUGAGGGUGUUCCUGCUAGGGUGCUUCUCCACCUUGGGGUGCUUGGCCAAAACCAUAGCCAUCAGGCAUCGCUUUGGACCUUGAUCCUCUGGGCCCUGGUGUGGUGGCUCAGUGCUUAUGGUGCCUACUGAGGACUGAGAGCAACUGCCCACCUUUCUGAGCAGCUGCUCCCCCUGUCCUGGAUGGGCCUGCCUCCUGAUGUUUCCAUGUUUCAGGCUACGUGGGUCUAGAAAGAAGCUGAGUGGGUGUAGAUGCUCCUGGUCAGGUGUCCGGCCUAGUGGGGCCUCCCCCUGAUAACUGUCAUCUCCUCUCCUGUCUCCUUAGUUCAAGUUUAGAGUUUGAGUGAGGUAGUUAUGGUUGUGGCAAGGGGCCCAGCAGUGACAGUGCAGCCCUUCCCUGGGGCCCAAGUGACAGAUGAGAGGUGUCAUGGGCUGAGGGGAGAGCCUAGGGUACAGGAAAGAGGGGCAGGCUUCUGGCUGGGGGGACAACCCCCAUGAGACCCCACGCAGAGCUCACUGCCCGGCUCAUCUGCACCAUCAUGCCCCCAUAGCAAGCAUGCCGUUAUUGACUAGAGUGAAGAGAGGACCGGCCCUGGGCAGAGUCCCCCGCAUCCAUGUGAUGGAUACCUGUUCAGCUCCUGUUACCGGCCAGUGAUGCAACAGGGAGGCCCUCCACCCAUCUGAGAAGACACGGAGGUGGCAAGGACAGCAGAUUUGGACUCAAGGACAGACAGGCCGGAGCUUUGGUGAAAAGAUGUGGCAAAAGCUGGGCUGCUGCAGACUUGUGGGAGCCGGUGGAGGUGGGCGAGACCUUUGAGACCAGAAUGAAGAGUGAUGGCAGGUGAUACAAAGGAGGAGGAUUACUGGACAGGAGAGGACUGGCUGGGGAGGAAAGUUCUAGAAGUCUCUCUGGAACACAGUUCAUGUGGCGAUGUUCCUUAGGGAACCGGAGCAGCCCCAGACCUCCAGAUGGAUGCCUGUCAGUGCUUGCCUACUUUGUGCAUGUGAGCGCUGCUAGAACCGAAACAUUAAAAAACAAACAAUUU